CCAAGUGACGUCAACAACGUCGAGGAAACGUCAGUAUUUGGUGGAAUAUAUACACGUGGUUGAACAUUACGUCAUAUCGACGUCUUUUGUAGGUGAUUUUAAAUACGUAAGAUUAAUGACGUUAAAAUACGUUUAAAAGACGUUUUCAUUUCAGCCAGCCUAAGUCUGACGUCACGAAAUUGGGAGGAGCUUGGAGCUUAAAAGUUACAAAACUAAGGUUAUGUUUUAUGUUUGUAUCGUCGUCGUCGUUGUCGUUUGUUUGUCCUAGUAUUUUAUCCUAUUUUGGAUUCAUUUGGAUUUUGUUGGCCGUUUUGUGUGUAUUUUUUAACUUUUGUUUGUCAUUUGUAAAUUUUAUAAAUUUACCACAAUGCAAAGUGACUAUUUAAGGAAAUUAUUAUGGGAAACUCCGCAGAUGUUUUAGAAAGAUAUUCAUUGAAGCUGAAAAUAAUUGGAGAUAUAGAUCCAUAUACAUGCAAUUCAGUCAUCAGAAUUGGAUUUUACAGUGCAUUUCAUCAAUUACUGUUAUAAUGCUAUUAUAGAUAGACUGGUAGAGUCUCACAGUUACUACUUUAAGCAGCAGAUGAAAGCAUACAAAAGCCUUCAGACACAUAAAAGCCUUCACAACUGGAUUUGUUUUGAAACAUUUGAUGUUUUGAUGAUUUCUAUAUUAUUGUUGGAAAGGUGAAGAAUUCCCAAAAAGCUAAUGCUAAACCACUAGAUGCUUGGGUGAUAGCCAGUUUCAAUGGCAUAGCAAAUGCACAUUGUAUGUGUAUUGCCGGUAAUAGUGAAGUUUGCAGCCAUAUUGCAGCAAUCUUAUUUGCAGCUGAGUAUGCCCACAGCAAGACAGAAGAAGAAGAACCCAGUGCAUGUACAGAUAUUACAGCUAUGUAUAUUCUCUGGUGAAAAACUAAUGAGUUUUCAAGCUGUUCGGUCAGAGUGCUUGUUGCGCUCUCUAAACGAACUGAAAUAUAAGACGGCUUUGGCUUCAUGUUGCAGCGAUAUGAAAAUGGUGUCUGGAUCUUUUUGUAUGCAAAAAUUUGUAAUAAUUAUUUGAAAUCAUUUUGAGGAUUAUAAGACUAUGGAAAUAUAUGUGAGAACACAGACUAUUAUAGUUUUGUCCUAUUUUUUAUCAUUCAAUCGUCUUCUUUAAAAUUUAUAAAUAUAAAGCAGAUAGUUUUCAUUGAAAUUCAAUAUAUUGGGUCUUAUUUGUAUGUAUUCAUUUUUGACUAAAGGUACGAUUCCGAUAACGACUGCAGACAGCAACUGCAAACAUCAGUUGCAGUUCUCGGCGUUAUGGACGUUACUACUUUGCACUAUUUAUCUGUAUGAGACUGAUUCCGACAUCUGACUGCAACUGCUGUCUGGCAGAACAUCAGUUGCUAAUAAUUAUGCAAAUUAUUAGUGCAAAAUAAUGACGUCUGUCAUGGUGACAACUGUAACUGCCAUCUGCAGUCGUUGUCGGAAUCGUACCCUAACAACACACAACAUUCCAGGAAUGUACUACCAAAGUUCUAUCAAUAUUUGAAUGUCCUGGACAUUUAGGGAACAUUCGGUGAACAUCUGUUUAAAUUAUUCCUGGAAUGUUACCAUAAGACAUUCUGUGAACAUACUACCAAUGUUCCUAUAUUUUAAGUUGCGAAAUAAUACAUACGUGUAAGAGAUACAACAUUACUUAUAACAUACCAGACAAACUAAGUGACAUUUUAGGCCUACAGUGCAAUAAUAUGUCAAAUUUAAAGAGUUUCCCAAGAUUAUAAACAUACAAAUGUAAUAAAAAUUAUUGUUCGCGAAUAUUCAAUUUGGAAUGCGAUUUUGUUAAUAAAAAAAAUACUUAUAACUUAUGCAAAACCCAAGAGAGGCAUUUAUAUUUAUUUCUUUUGCGUUCAUUUUCAAAUUCGCCGUGCAUAUAUUUUUGUGCAUGGCGCUUGAGAGGGCAUCACGUGACUAAAAACGACCAACCAACGACCUCGCUUCGGCCAUCUUGGCAUCUUCAUCUUGGCGACCUUGCCUUGCCGUGGAUUGUUUUUAGUUGUUUGUAUUAUUUGUGCUUUUUAAGAAUAUUUUUUUAAUUCGGAUACUUUUAUAAUAGCUUUAAUAGUAUUAUUAACAUAGUGCAUAAAAUGGUGUCCUGUUUUUAACGCAGUUGGAGUAGCAGAAACAAAUGUAGAUAAAAAAAUCUGCAGGAAUAACGUUUCAAUUAUGACAGAAGCUCAAAACAAAUGACUGUGAAUGAAAAGCCCUAUUAAAAGCUUUCCAGAAGAUCCUGCGAAGAAGACAUGAAGUAUAGAUCAGAUUUGUUAAUAGAGGAGUAUGUUCAAAACACUUUUUAGAAAAAGAUAUUGACAGAACUUCACUUUCAUCUGUUCGUUUGAGAGACUGUUCUGUUCCAAUAGCUUAUGUCACACAGAAUCAGCUGAGAGAAGUGGUCUACAAAAAACCAGAAAGGAAACGGAAUAUGUGGCUACGAAAAGCAAAAGAAAGGUUUACAAAGCAAAUGUGACACAUUUUUUUAUAAUAUUUAGGAAUGUCAGCAAAUUACAUUAAAAAAUGUAUGUAAAGAUUUUUUGCAAUAAAAAUGUUUAUAUUUA